rnacentral:rRNA from 1 species
CGGUGUUUAACUGGCGUGAUGUGGGACGUCCUACCGGUGGGCUUAGCCUCGCGAGGGGCGGCCCAACUAAUAUCCCGUCGCGGUGCUCUUUACUGAGUGUCGAGUCGGGCCGGUACGUUUACUUUGAACAAAUUAGAGUGCUUAAAGCAGGCUAUCCUCGCCUGAAUACUGCGUGCAUGGAAUAAUGGAAUAGGACCUCGGUUCUAUUUUGUUGGUUUUCGGAACCCCGAGGUAAUGAUUAAUAGGGACAGAUGGGGGCAUUCGUAUUGCGACGUUAGAGGUGAAAUUCUUGGAUCGUCGCAAGACGGACAGAAGCGAAAGCAUUUGCCAAAAAUGUUUUCAUUAAUCAAGAACGAAAGUUAGAGGUUCGAAGGCGAUCAGAUACCGCCCUAGUUCUAACCAUAAACGAUGCCAGCUAGCGAUCCGCCGAAGUUCCUCCGAUGACUCGGCGGGCAGCUUCCGGGAAACCAAAGCUUUUGGGUUCCCGGGGGAAGUAUGGUUGCAAAGCUGAAACUUAAAGGAAUUGACGGAAGGGCACCACCAGGAGUGGAGCCUGCGGCUUAAUUUGACUCAACACGGGAAACCUCACCAGGCCCAGACACCGGAAGGAUUGACAGAUUGAUAGCUCUUUCUUGAUUCGGUGGGUGGUGGUGCAUGGCCGUUCUUAGUUGGUGGAGCGAUUUGUCUGGUUAAUUCCGAUAACGAACGAGACUCUAGCCUGCUAAAUAGGCGUACCUUAUGGUAUCGCGAAGGCCCCCGGCUUCGGCCGGUGGGUUUUUACUACCAACGUACAAACAAAUCUUCUUAGAGGGACAGGCGG